AAAAUUAGAACAACUCUCUGGGAUAAUUCAUCAUCUUGCUCUAAAAUGAAGAAAAGAAAAUCAUUUCUGCUGCUGAGAUGUUUCCCACACGCUCUACCCUUGUCAGGAUAAAUAAUUAUUUGAUCAAAAUAGCAGCUGCCUAUGUGCCCUUGGCUGAGGAAUUGAUUAAUGAACUCUCAUUAGUAGUUACAACUCCACAACAUCCUGUCCCUGAUCGUCUACCUCCUUCCUUCAUCUUUGCUUUAGGAGUGACCGCUGUGUCUCCUCCAGGCACCAACAGACCCAUGGGGAGACAGAGGUUAAGAGCAAGAUUGCAGCAACUCCCUGUUUCUUCGUUCCUAGACAAAAGGCACGAGAAACUUCAAACAAAUUGCUAUCAGUGCAAGAGAGUUCCUGGUUCAUAUCGUUCCUGGCACGGAGCAUCCAGCUGAACCUCCUGUCAAAAACAGGACCAUCUCCUCCUGAACACCCCCAGCAAGGACCUUUAUUUUGCUAGAACUACUGAGGACUCUGCUUUUCAUAGCUGACUCUGACUAAGGACAGGAGUUCAACUCUCCGACUGAUUUCUCGGAGGAGGAUAACUCAAGGUUAGCAUCCACCAACCUGGCAGAAACAAAAGGAAUCCUUAGGAGCUGAAGUACUAUGCUUAAUUACCAAAGGAGACCUCCUACCCUUCUAGAGAUAAAAUCUAUAGACAAUGGCUCUGGGACAGAAAAUUACUGAAGGAAUCCCUGACAAUUGAUGGCUACUCAGAAGCCAUCCUCAGCAUCUUAAAAAUCCCUUUUGUGAUGGAGAGCAAGAGCUUUUGAAUUGUGCUGGACUCUUGAGCCACUGCAAAAACUCCCUUCUAAGGGGAGAGCAAUAGCCCCCUGAAGGGAGCCCUAGAGGCUCCCAGGCUCUCCUGUGGUCCACAGUGGAGAACUGUGAUGGAUGCAUUGUGUUUCACUCUUCAAGUGUCUGUUUCCCUCCAUAUGACUUUGGGAUGUUUUGGGAAAUGGGUGAACACCUUGUGCUAUGAAGGAUGCAUAAUUUCAUAAAAUGGAUGUUGCAUUUGAAUUUUUUGGGGGGACUGAGGAGGAUUGGCCCUGAGCUAACAUCAGGGCCAAGCUCCCUCCAUUUUGUACAUGGGAUGCUGCGACAGCAUGGCUCGAUGAGCAGCGUAUAGGGCUGUGCCCGGAUCUGAACCUGCAAACCCUGGUACCACGGAAGUGGAGCAUGCAAACCUAACCACUACGCCAUGGGCUGGCCCCUUGAAACUCAUUUUUAAAGGUUGCAAGUUGUUUUCAAAACCAUUAGAUAUCAAAAAUGACUUUAUUGCCUUAAAAGUAAAAAAUGAUUGAUAAUAUUUCACAAAUUUGAGGUGUGAGUUGUGGCAUUAGUCUUCCAAUAAUGAGCAGAUAAGAAAAUCUCUAUAUGCGGAUAAGCUGAGCUCACUUCUAAGAUUGUUGUGAACAGCAUAGGCACCAGAAAGAAACAAAUAUAGCG
rnacentral:lncRNA from 1 species